AUGUUUUAACACGUUGCAAACACCGGUUUUCGUCCGAUCAUCCAAGUUAAGCAAUGUGGGGUCUGGUCAGUGCGUGGGAGGGUGACCUCUUGGAAACACCUGGAGCUUCAGACC